rfam:Asian citrus Psyllid, Diaphorina citri - Florida Strain, whole genome shotgun sequence.
CCUGGUUAGCUUAGUUGGUAGUGCGUCUGCCUUGUAAGCGCUAGGCCGCGGGUUCGAUUCCCGCCCGGG